rnacentral:rRNA from 1 species
GACGAACGCUCGCCGCAAGCUUAACACAUGCAAGUCGAACGCCGUAGCAAUACGGAGUGGCAGACGGGUCAGUAACACGUGGGAACGUGCCUUUCGGUUCGGAACAACUGAGGGAAACUUCAGCUAAAACCGGAUACGCCCUUCGGGGGAAAGUUUACGCGGAAAGAUCGUCCCGCGUCAGAUUAGGUAGUUGGCGGGGUAAUGGCCCACCAAGCCGAUGAUCUGUAGCUGUUCUGAGAGGAAGAUCAGCCACACUGGGACUGAGACACGGCCCAGACUGCUACGGGGGGCAGCAGUGGGGAAUAUUGGACAAUGGGCGCAAGCCUGAUCCAGCUAUGCCGCGUGGAUGAAGAAGGCCUUCGGGUUGUAAAGUCCUUUCGGCGUGGAAGAUAAUGGCAGUACCCGCAGAAGAAGCCCCGGCUAAUUUCGUGCCAGCCGCCGCUGUAAAAC